UACGUAGGCAGCGAGCGUUGUUCGGAGUUACUGGGCGUAAAGGGUGCGCAGGCGGCCUGGCGCGUCGCGAGUGAAAUCUCCUGGCUCAACUGGGAGGGUGGUCGCGAGACGGCUGGGCUUGAGGCUCGGUGAGGGGCGUGGAAUUCCGGGUGGAGCGGUGAAAUGCGUAGAGAUCCGGAGGAACACCGACGGCGUAGGCAGCGCCCUAGACGAGACCUGACGCUCAGGCACGAAAGCGCGGGGAGCGAACAGG
rnacentral:rRNA from 1 species